ACCAGCUGAAGAGUCCCAUAACAGGACGAAACGCGCUUCCUGAAU
rnacentral:hammerhead_ribozyme from 1 species